CCAGGUCAGGCGGGAUUACCCGCUGA
rnacentral:rRNA from 1 species